AUACGGAGGGUGCAAACGUUGUUCGGAAUCACUGGGCGUAAAGGGCGCGCAGGCGGUUUGAUUAGUCAGAUGUGAAAGCCCACGGCUUAACCGUGGAAGUGCAUUUGAAACUGUCAGACUUGAGUACCAGAGGGGGUAGUGGAAUUCCCGGUGUAGAGGUGAAAUUCGUAGAUAUCGGGAGGAAUACCGGUGGCGAAGGCGACUUUCUGGCUGAAUACUGACGCUGAGGCGCGAAAGCGUGGGGAGCAAACAGGAUUAGAAACCCGAGUAGUCC
rnacentral:rRNA from 1 species